ACUACGGGAGGCAGCAGUGAGGAAUAUUGGUCAAUGGGCGGAAGCCUGAACCAGCAAAGUAGCGUGCAGGAUGACAGCCCUACGGGUUGUAAACUGCUUUUAUACGGGAAUAACGCGCCUUACGUGUAGGGCUUUGCAUGUACCGUAUGAAUAAGGACCGGCUAAUUCCGUGCCAGCAGCCGCGGUAAUACGGAAGGUCCGGGCGUUAUCCGGAUUUCUUGGGUUUAAAGGGAGCGUAGGCCGCAUGUCAAGCGUCCUGUGAAAUGCACGGGCUCAACCCGGGCCUUGCAGCGCGAACUGGCGUGGUUGAGUCCGCGGAAAGCAGGCGGAAUUCGUCGUGUAGCGGUGAAAUGCUUAGAUAUGACGAAGAACCCCGAUUGCGAAGGCAGCUUGCUGCAGCGGAACUGACGCUGAUGCUCGAAAGCGCGGGUAUCGAACAGGAUUAGAUACCCCAGUAGUC
rnacentral:rRNA from 1 species